rnacentral:rRNA from 1 species
GGUUAAGCGACUAAGCGUACACGGUGGAUGCCCUGGCAGUCAGAGGCGAUGAAGGACGUGCUAAUCUGCGAUAAGCGUCGGUAAGGUGAUAUGAACCGUUAUAACCGGCGAUUUCCGAAUGGGGAAACCCAGUGUGAUUCGUCACACUAUCAUUAACUGAAUCCAUAGGUUAAUGAGGCGAACCGGGGGAACUGAAACAUCUAAGUACCCCGAGGAAAAGAAAUCAACCGAGAUUCCCCCAGUAGCGGCGAGCGAACGGGGAGCAGCCCAGAGCCUGAAUCAGUGUGUGUGUUAGUGGAAGCGUCUGGAAAGGCGCGCGAUACAGGGUGACAGCCCCGUACACAAAAAUGCACAUACUGUGAGCUCGAUGAGUAGGGCGGGACACGUGGUAUCCUGUCUGAAUAUGGGGGGACCAUCCUCCAAGGCUAAAUACUCCUGACUGACCGAUAGUGAACCAGUACCGUGAGGGAAAGGCGAAAAGAACCCCGGCGAGGGGAGUGAAAAAGAACCUGAAACCGUGUACGUACAAGCAGUGGGAGCACGCUUAGGCGUGUGACUGCGUACCUUUUGUAUAAUGGGUCAGCGACUUAUAUUCUGUAGCAAGGUUAACCGAAUAGGGGAGCCGAAGGGAAACCGAGUCUUAACUGGGCGUUAAGUUGCAGGGUAUAGACCCGAAACCCGGUGAUCUAGCCAUGGGCAGGUUGAAGGUUGGGUAACACUAACUGGAGGACCGAACCGACUAAUGUUGAAAAAUUAGCGGAUGACUUGUGGCUGGGGGUGAAAGGCCAAUCAAACCGGGAGAUAGCUGGUUCUCCCCGAAAGCUAUUUAGGUAGCGCCUCGUGAAUUCAUCUCCGGGGGUAGAGCACUGUUUCGGCAAGGGGGUCAUCCCGACUUACCAACCCGAUGCAAACUGCGAAUACCGGAGAAUGUUAUCACGGGAGACACACGGCGGGUGCUAACGUCCGUCGUGAAGAGGGAAACAACCCAGACCGCCAGCUAAGGUCCCAAAGUCAUGGUUAAGUGGGAAACGAUGUGGGAAGGCCCAGACAGCCAGGAUGUUGGCUUAGAAGCAGCCAUCAUUUAAAGAAAGCGUAAUAGCUCACUGGUCGAGUCGGCCUGCGCGGAAGAUGUAACGGGGCUAAACCAUGCACCGAAGCUGCGGCAGCGACGCUUAUGCGUUGUUGGGUAGGGGAGCGUUCUGUAAGCCUGCGAAGGUGUGCUGUGAGGCAUGCUGGAGGUAUCAGAAGUGCGAAUGCUGACAUAAGUAACGAUAAAGCGGGUGAAAAGCCCGCUCGCCGGAAGACCAAGGGUUCCUGUCCAACGUUAAUCGGGGCAGGGUGAGUCGACCCCUAAGGCGAGGCCGAAAGGCGUAGUCGAUGGGAAACAGGUUAAUAUUCCUGUACUUGGUGUUACUGCGAAGGGGGGACGGAGAAGGCUAUGUUGGCCGGGCGACGGUUGUCCCGGUUUAAGCGUGUAGGCUGGUUUUCCAGGCAAAUCCGGAAAACUAAGGCUGAGGCGUGAUGACGAGGCACUACGGUGCUGAAGCAACAAAUGCCCUGCUUCCAGGAAAAGCCUCUAAGCAUCAGGUAACAUCAAAUCGUACCCCAAACCGACACAGGUGGUCAGGUAGAGAAUACCAAGGCGCUUGAGAGAACUCGGGUGAAGGAACUAGGCAAAAUGGUGCCGUAACUUCGGGAGAAGGCACGCUGAUAUGUAGGUGAAGUCCCUCGCGGAUGGAGCUGAAAUCAGUCGAAGAUACCAGCUGGCUGCAACUGUUUAUUAAAAACACAGCACUGUGCAAACACGAAAGUGGACGUAUACGGUGUGACGCCUGCCCGGUGCCGGAAGGUUAAUUGAUGGGGUCAGCGCAAGCGAAGCUCUUGAUCGAAGCCCCGGUAAACGGCGGCCGUAACUAUAACGGUCCUAAGGUAGCGAAAUUCCUUGUCGGGUAAGUUCCGACCUGCACGAAUGGCGUAAUGAUGGCCAGGCUGUCUCCACCCGAGACUCAGUGAAAUUGAACUCGCUGUGAAGAUGCAGUGUACCCGCGGCAAGACGGAAAGACCCCGUGAACCUUUACUAUAGCUUGACACUGAACAUUGAGCCUUGAUGUGUAGGAUAGGUGGGAGGCUUUGAAGUGUGGACGCCAGUCUGCAUGGAGCCGACCUUGAAAUACCACCCUUUAAUGUUUGAUGUUCUAACGUUGACCCGUGAUCCGGGUUGCGGACAGUGUCUGGUGGGUAGUUUGACUGGGGCGGUCUCCUCCUAAAGAGUAACGGAGGAGCACGAAGGUUGGCUAAUCCUGGUCGGACAUCAGGAGGUUAGUGCAAUGGCAUAAGCCAGCUUGACUGCGAGCGUGACGGCGCGAGCAGGUGCGAAAGCAGGUCAUAGUGAUCCGGUGGUUCUGAAUGGAAGGGCCAUCGCUCAACGGAUAAAAGGUACUCCGGGGAUAACAGGCUGAUACCGCCCAAGAGUUCAUAUCGACGGCGGUGUUUGGCACCUCGAUGUCGGCUCAUCACAUCCUGGGGCUGAAGUAGGUCCCAAGGGUAUGGCUGUUCGCCAUUUAAAGUGGUACGCGAGCUGGGUUUAGAACGUCGUGAGACAGUUCGGUCCCUAUCUGCCGUGGGCGCUGGAGAACUGAGGGGGGCUGCUCCUAGUACGAGAGGACCGGAGUGGACGCAUCACUGGUGUUCGGGUUGUCAUGCCAAUGGCACUGCCCGGUAGCUAAAUGCGGAAGAGAUAAGUGCUGAAAGCAUCUAAGCACGAAACUUGCCCCGAGAUGAGUUCUCCCUGACCCUUUAAGGGUCCUGAAGGAACGUUGAAGACGACGACGUUGAUAGGCCGGGUGUGUAAGCGCAGCGAUGCGUUGAGCUAACCGGUACUAAUGAACCGUGAGGCUUAACCUU